rnacentral:rRNA from 1 species
GAUGAACGCUGGCGGCGUGCCUAAUACAUGCAAGUCGAGCGAACGGACGAGGAGCUUGCUUCUCUGAUGUUAGCGGCGGACGGGAGAGUAACGCGUGUAUAACCUACCUAUAAGACUGGUAUAACUUCGGGAAACCGGCGCUAAUAGCGUAUAAUAUUUUGAACCGCAUGGUUCAAAGGUGAAAGACGGUCUUGCUGUCACUUAUAGAUGGAUACGCGCUGCAUUAGCUAGUUGGUAAGGUAACGGCUUACCAAGGCAACGAUGCGUAGACGACCGGAGAGGGUGAUAGGCCACCCUGGAACGGGACCGCGGACAUGAGGCCUACGGGACGGAGCAGUCGCCAAUCUUACGCAGUAGGCGAAAGCCUUACGGAGCAACGCCGAGUGUGUGAUGAAGGUCUUCGGAGCGUAAUACUCUGUUAUUAGUGAAGAACAGAUGUGUCAGUAGAUGUGCACAUCUUGACGGUACCUAGUAAGAAAGCAACGGCUAACUACGUG